UCACCUGGAAAGAGGUGGGAGUUAAAGGCUGUGCUGGUGAAAUGGGGUGCCAGGCCUCAGUAGGAAGGUGCAGGGGCUGUCACCUGAUGAACAACCUCUAGCUGAGGUUCCUCUAUUUAAGGGAGCCUUGCUUCUGCCUCUCGGUCUCCCACCCCUUGGGCCCCCUGCUUGUUGCUCUUGGCUCUCAGCCCCCUGCCCACACAGACCCCCAUUCAUCCAGCGGCAGGACAGGAGUUAUAUAUAGAGCCAGCCAGCCAGGCAAUGGCCAGGGGUGGACACUAGCCUCUUUCACCGUUGAGACCCCACCCAUGGGCACAGAGCUCCCCCAAGCUAGCUUGAGGCCCUGGGACUACCCCCUGCACUGAUGGAGCACCAGGAACGUUCCUCAGAGAUGCAGGGCUACCUUAGGUUCUCAGUGGACAGCGGGUACCAGCUACAGGGUAUUAUACCUGAACAGGCUCAGCUUUCACUACCCAGGAUGAGACCAACGCAGGCAUCCUGAGGACCCUUUCCUCAGAGGGAAGGCACCUCCCAUCAGGGUGCCUGGUCUCUGAAAUCUUGCUCCCUCUCUAUCCACCCCGCCCUUCCUCCCCCCGCAGCCACCCCCCCUCAUCCUCUCGCCAGCUGCAGCCUGGGCACAGCACCAAGACAAACGCUGUCUCACUGUCCACCCUCCUGGGCCAACCCUCCAGGGGUGGAGUAGGGUGUUUCUUAAAGAGCCCAACACAACACCCCUGCCACCCAGGAAGGGGUGUCCAGGAGUGAGUGACAGGGGACAGGGUGACAUGGUGGCCCAUGCCAGUGAGGCUGAAGAUGCCUGUCUGGACAGGGAAAGACACCAUCUCCCCAUUAGAUAGAACCACAUACUCACCUUUGCUUCACAUUUUCUGUGUGUGGCCACCUUGCAGACUAGAGAGAGAAAGGGUAGAGGUUAGCAGAGGCUUACGGGAAUAGUCAAAAUAACUGUGCUCCAGCCCCACAGGCCUUAGAAGCCAGCUCUGGGACCCUGGUACACUAGGUUACUAGGAGUUGAAGAACAGAGCUGGUUAUCAACAGGUUCUGCUCUGGAGUAAGGGAAGAGGGCCGGGGGUUGGGGUCUAGGAUGAAUAGAGGUGAGGAGGGGAAAGAGGAAGAGGAGGAAGAACAGUAGGAGGAAGAAGAGGAGGAAGAAGAAAAGGAUGAGGAAGAAGAAGAGGAACAGGAAGAUGAGGAGGAAGAGAAAGGGGAGGAAGAGGAAAAAGAGGAGGAGGCAGAAGAGGAAAAAGAGGAGGAGGAAGAAGAGGAAAAAGAGGAGGAAGAAGAGGAAAAAGAGAAGGAAGAGGAAGAGGAAGAAGAGGAAAAGGAGGAGGAAAAGGAAAAAGGAGGAAAAAGAAGAGGAGGAAGAAGAAAAAGAGGAGGAGGAAGAAGAAGAGGAGGAGGAGCAAGAGGAAGGGAAGACCCUAGUCACAGAGCCUGAGCCACACAGAAGUGCUGCCUGGAGGGCUCAGGCACCAAGAGCACCACCUCACCUCGGCAGGAGACACCGGUCCCAUCGAUGGUCACCUUACACACUGCACACACUGGAGUUUUCUUCCGGAAAACCUUCUCCCGGAAGCUGUGUGGUUCUGCUUUCCUCGGCUGCGGGUGGGAUGACAGACAAAUAGGGGUAUGUGUUCCUAGUGGGCUCAUCUCCAAGGCUGGGCAGGGACCUUUCCUUAGAGCGAUGCUGCUUCCCUCUCUUCCAGCCAAAAGUCUGUGAACUCUAAGGCACACUUGGCCACAGCUGUUUCAGGGUAGUCAUGAGGCCUGUCCUCUACAGGGCUUGGAAUGUGACCCCUUGCGUCACCUUGGCUGGGUCAACUCCUCCCUAAGGGUUCACUCAGGACUUCUCACGUGGCGGAGCUAUGUGAUGUCCUUGUCACACACACCCCCACUUCCAAUGUGAGGGCUUUCUGAAUCUUGGCAGAGUGGGGGGUCUGACUCUCCUCCCAUCUUGCCCUCCCCACAAGAGGCUUGUAUACUGUGAGCUGACGGCCAGGACACACAAGCACUAUCACAUAAUACCCAGACUGACUGCAGCCAGUUCUGAGCCCCUGGCUCUCAGUGUCCCCAAGCUCCAGGCAGCUAAUAUGACCCCCUCCCCCACGGUCAGAACAACAUGUUUACUCUCUGUGCACUGAGGCGGCAGGCAGCAAUUGUCUAAGACGUUCGCUCGGAAGGAGGAAUAGCAGUGGGGACACACAGGCAGCUGCCUCGCUGCCUCUGCAUGUUAUGACAGGGGUGGCCAGGUUCUCCGGAUGCCCCCUCCCCACCCAGAGGUAGUGAGGUCAGUGGCUGGCUGGGCUGCCACCAGUUGUCCAGGUCCCCCUUAGUCCCUACUCACUGCAAGUUUUCACUGCAGUUCUGACCCCUCCCACCCCAGUUCAUCCCUCCUAUCUAGAGUCUGUGGACAAUCUCCCUCACUCCUCCCACCACUCCACUGCACAUUCUUCACCGCUGUGUGUUCAAGCUCCCGCUGUCCCCUCCUCUCCCUGGAUCUGCCCACCGUAGUGUGAAGAGGAGAAUAACAUGGGAGCAGCGUUGGUCCCUUAACGACUGGGGGCGAGACCCACCAGGACACUUGGACGCACUUGUGGAUGAUGACGUCGUGUGCAGAUGACGUCAGUAGAAGGCACCCUCCCUUCCCUCAUUGCCUUCUUCCCAUACCUUUUCCCUCAAGCUUCCCCCGGAGGUCAGGGCUUGAGCUCUUAGCUGAACCCUCGGGGCCUAUCCAGGCUCAAGCCAGGAAAUACACAGAGAAGUCAAAACAGAUGCUAGAAUCACACUGCUACCCUACCCUAGCCACCUCAGGGGGUCAGGCGAAAGAAAGAGGAGGGGGAUGCUGAGCCAGCCAGGAGAAGAGGCUGAAACUAGGAAGAGGGUCUGGUCUGGCCUGAAUCCUGGCCCUCCCGCCUUGUCCGCACCUCCACCCUGCCCCACCUUUGCCCAGCUGGUGGGCACUCCUACCCUGCUGGUGGCCCGGCUGCUGUCCCUCCUCCCCAGGGCUCUGAGCAACCUUUCCACAGGGCCGCUGGACUUCAUGGUGUCUGGCUGGCUGGACUCUUGGCUGCAGGGCCUGAACAAUGCUGGGGCCUGGCCUGGGGCUUCCUGGAAGCAGCCUGCCGAGGCAGCCGCUUCCCUUGGGUGGAGGGGAGGCUGUCUGGCUGGUGUGUGGAGAAGCCUGGCCCUGGAAGUGGAGGGAAGUGCAGGCGGGAAGGGGGCAGGUCGCUGCUCCAGGAAGUGGGGUGGGGGAGGAUGUGGGGGAGGCCAGGAGAUCAGAUUCCCAGGAUCUACCCUGCUGGGAGUGUCAGCCUAAGAUCUCUGGCUCUCCCCAUCUCUGGAGCUGCCUCCCACCCAGUGGGCCACUGUGUGCAGGGGGUCUGCAGUCCUGAGAUCCAGCCCUGGAAUCAGCCAGUGGCACAGGGUGGGAAUUCAGGUCUCAGGGCAGGGCUCAAGGGCCAGUGGAGAACACUGUGUCCCCGGCCAGUCUCUAGCCUGAACCCUCAUGCUCCCUUGGGAUUUCCUGUGGGAAGGGAGUGUUGCUGGGAACCAGUACCCCUGACAGCCCAGCACUCCACAUCCUCAGGGUGAAAGAAAGUUAGGGAUGAGGGCUAACUUCCCUGUCAGACGGGAGAAGGAUCUUAUAGUACCCUCCUCAACGCCAAGUUCCAGCGGGAAGGGCUAAGGGCUUACAGGAAUGGUCCAUCUUGCUGUAACCCAAAGCACUGGAGGUUCCUCCUGAACACCCCAGCUGCUCCUCUCCAGAUACAACCCACAGUUCCUGGCUUAGCUCCCAGAUCCUGCACCUGAGGUUCUACUGGGGACCCCACCCGCCCACCAGAAUCUGAGCGCUACCUUCAUGGCUCUUCUGGCCUGUCUCUCCUUCCUCUGUGGCUGUCACUGGACCCGAGGACUGGACAGGAGGCCCCCUCCCAACACAUACUCCACCCUCUCUAGGGCCUCCUGCUUCCCUCCUGGGAAUAGGGCCAACUUCCUGUCCCAGGAGUCAAGGGAAGGAGGUGUAUGGGGCCCUUGGAAAGGAUGGAACAACCUUCCUACAACAAGGGUCAACAGCCUGGGGGUUCCCAGCCCAAGCUCUAGACAGCAGCCUUUGGAAUGCUGUAGCUAGCUGUCAUUUGAAAGAAUGUACACCGUGUCACCCUCAUUUGCAUGGUAUUUACUGAAUGUCCCAGUGCAACUCCUCCAGUUCUGGCACCUCUUGCAGGGUCCCACAGGACUCUCCUCUUUCUGCCUCACGCCCAUCUGACAGAUGAAGGGCUGCUCUAGUCCUCCCCAGGGAUCCUUCAGAAGACCUGUCAGACUGAAGAGUCUGAGGCCUCUUCCCGCUGCAUGCCUGUUCUCUAGGAAGCCCAUCGUUGCCAGUGUACCCUGGCUAGAAGGCCCUGUGAGUGGCAAGGGGUGGGGCACCGUGCUGUAACUGGAGAGGGCCCCUGGCUCUGCAAUCCCCACCUGAGUUCUGGCUGUGUCCCAGGACAUUCCAGGCCGAUGGCCAGGUGGGCAACCGGGGCUGUCCUGAUUCCGCACCCAGCCCUGCUGGGGAAGAUGGAUCACUGCAGCGCCUCCCCUGAUCAAUUUUUUUUCCCCUCUGCUCCUAUGGUACAUGGGCCUACAUCUGCAACCUCUGGUGGGACUGAAAGUCUUUUCCUCUGGAACAGGUUCCCAAACAGCCUCUGCCCUCACUGAACUUACACUGCCCACCUAGAUCUAGAAAGUUAAGUGUCUAGUUGGCUCUGCGCGUCCCCACCGCAGGGAGUGUGGAGUAUUUCUGAAAGUAGCUGAGGGCAAACAGUGCCUGAGGAAUGGCAGCAUUACCAGAUCCUCACCUCCCACCUCCUGCCUGGAAUAUUCCAGAGCUCUUUUGAUUCUCCCCAGCCGGGCCCCCUCUCACUCUGAAGCCUUGGGUUUGUUUGGAGAAACCCCUCCACCCACCCACACACCCCUCCUUCCUGGAAAUAGCUGUGGUUGGAUGAGAGGCCCGGAGCCGGGCCACAGAGGAGUGAGGCCCAGUAAAGGAGGGAGGGGAAGGGAGGUAGGAUUCAAGGGUGUGUCUAGAGGGACCUAGGGGGUAUCUAGGUAGGGCAGAAGUAGAAAAGGGUUAAAAGGAGAAAUCAGCUUCAUCUGUGUCUGCAUUCUGCCUCAGUGUCUCAGAUAGAGAAAACAGAGAGGAAAAAGUUUGCAUGCACUCUGCCAGGCCAGGGCCGCAACAUUGAUGCCAGCUGCCGCGGGCAUCUUGUGUUCAAAGUGCGCUUGUGGCUCGAGCUAGAGAGGUACGCAGAGAGUGGCCUGAGCCAACAGUAGUGCACAGUGGGACGCAGGAAGGCGUGGCGGCCUGAGCUAGGUCCACAGCCGCGCCCCGCCCCCUGGUCACCUCUAGUAUCUUCAACUGUCCCCUAGCUCACCGAGACCCGGAGGGGAGGGCACGGGCCGCGCCCAAUGCUCCCGGACCCCCAGUGGCUCCGCGCCCCCUGGUGCCCGUCCCUGGCUCGGACCGCGCGCUGUGACGCAGAGGGCCGACGCUCGCCCGCGCUCCCGUCCAGCGUGGCGCAGCCACUCACCUGUGGGGGGCGCCCAGAGGGCCGGGGGCGCGGCGAACUGGGGCAGCAGCAGGGGGCGCCCCCGGACCAGCCCAUCCCGCCUAGCCGCGCCGCGAUACGCGGAGGCGGCGGCGGCGGCAGCGGCGGCGGGACGGGCGCUCAGCUGGCUCCCUCCCGCCGCGCCCUGCGCCGGCUGCCUCCUCCCGCCCUCCGGCUCCCUCCUUCUUCCUGGGCUCCAAUCGCCACCUUCCACCCGCUCCCCGCCCGCGCCUCCUCCUUUCUCCCUCUUCUCCUCCCACUGUCCUCCGUGCGCGCCGAGGCAGGCUCCGGCUGAGACUCGCAGACGGAGCGGCAGCCAGAGCCCGAGUGGGAUCGCACGUGGGAGGACAGCCCCGGGAAGCCUCAGGCCGAGAGUCUGCAGAGGGCCACAGGCACCCGAGGAGAGGCCAGAGGGACAGGGCAGGGAGAAACGCGUGAGCCACAUAGACUUCUAAAGGAAGGUGGAUGCAGAGGCCUCUAUACUCAUCCAAGUCCGAACUAGGCCUGGCAUGGUUGGGGCACCAGAUUUAGACACCUAAAGUUGCUGGUGUCCCAGGUCUUAAUGCUUCCUGGAGCUUUCUGUCACUUCUCUCAAAUGACUCAGAGCUGAGAACCCACAGCAGAUUCAAGAUUCCUGACACUCAACUGCUUAAGUCAUCGCGCCGGUGUCCUUAGGUCUUCUCAGUGGAAGUUCUUUUGAUGGUGUAACCUCAUUCCAUUCUUUUAAAAUCUGAUAUUGGAUAGGAACGUCUGGAAUUAAGCUAGGGACCAUGGUAUUAGUUUGAGUUGUGUCACUUGGAGAAGUUGAGAGUAGGGAUGUGGUCCUAGAAUCUUAGAACCUGUUGUAAUUCCCUGUUCCCAGCGUUCCUUAGCAGAUCCUAAACUGUUCUGUCUGCUGUUACCCACCCCGCUGGAAUUUCCAUGAUGGAAAUUGAUGGAGCCAUGCAUCUCAAUGCUGAGAAGUGGGAAGUGCGGAGAGUUCAGUGCCAGGCGAUGACCAGCUUUGAAAAGCUCCCUUAAGUCUGAAAUAUCUCUUGAGGUGGUUCCCUGUAUCAGUGCCCAACAGCUUGCUAGGCAAGCCCACCACGUGGCUUCAUGGACUGCAAGGAGGCAAACACUGGGGGUUGGAGUAAGUCAACCAGGACGGCGAACCCUGCCUGGGCUCCAUGCACAGAGGUCCAUCUCCACUGUUGGUGAGCCUACCCACUGUCCUGCAACAGCUCACAUACUGCUGUGCGAAACGGAAGGAAGGGGUGGGGAAAGGAGAGGCAU